GGGCUGGCUCAGUGGUAGAGUGCUUGCCUUAUAUGCAUGAGGCCCUAGGUUUGAUUCCUCAGUACCUCA
rnacentral:tRNA from 1 species